AAAGCGUGUAACAUGCCUCAGAUAUGUGGAGAGAUGCCCUGGCAAGCCUUUCAUUACUGCGAUACAGUACUCCCGAUAAUGGAUUUUAAAACACAGGAAGGAUGCCGGCAGCUCCCUGACCUCUGACCUCAGCUGAAUGUGAUGAUGGGCACACACACACAUCUGCUCAGAGUCUUUCAGUUUCAUAUUCUGAUAACCACUCGCACCUCAACCCUCACUGGGCUUGUUAAAUGAGCUCGAACCCUCGGGAUGUGUGCUGUAGAGAUUCAGCUGAGCUCUUUUACUCACUAAUUGCUUUGCCUCGUCCUGCUCUCAGCUCUCUGCACUUUAUCCUCAAGAGCCAUGUUUCUUUUUUGCACUCAUUUCUGAUAAUUCUUGCUAAAUUUGUGCUGCCUCAAGUGUCUUAUUACUUUUCUGGUUUAUUAGACAUCAA